AUUGAACGCUGGCGGCAGGCCUAACACAUGCAAGUCGAGCGGAUGAAGGGAGCUUGCUCCUGGAUUCAGCGGCGGACGGGUGAGUAAUGCCUAGGAAUCUGCCUGGUAGUGGGGGAUAACGUCCGGAAACGGGCGCUAAUACCGCAUACGUCCUGAGGGAGAAAGUGGGGGAUCUUCGGACCUCACGCUAUCAGAUGAGCCUAGGUCGGAUUAGCUAGUUGGUGGGGCAAAGGCCUACCAAGGCGACGAUCCGUAACUGGUCUGAGAGGAUGAUCAGUCACACUGGAACUGAGACACGGUCCAGACUCCUACGGGAGGCAGCAGUGGGGAAUAUUGGACAAUGGGCGAAAGCCUGAUCCAGCCAUGCCGCGUGUGUGAAGAAGGUCUUCGGAUUGUAAAGCACUUUAAGUUGGGAGGAAGGGCAGUAAGUUAAUACCUUGCUGUUUUGACGUUACCAACAGAAUAAGCACCGGCUAACUUCGUGC
rnacentral:rRNA from 1 species